UUCCUAGCUUUCGAAGAUUGGAUUGUGCAUCGGGAAUUGUUCCUGCAUCGAAUUUGCAAUAUGCGUGGAUACCAUAGUAGUGGAUUCAACUGCAGGAUUACUAGAAGAAUUGCUACAGGAUUGUUUGCUACACAACAAGUAAGUUAUUCUAACUGUUGUUGUGUGUUUGUAAUCUCUACACAUGAAUUAAUUGUAAAUCUUGAUCUUUUUCUUGACUGUUAUUUCCGCUGCGUAUCAUUAGAUGAUGUCAAGGAUUU
rnacentral:lncRNA from 1 species